UAUUGUUAAAAGUCUUUAAUUAUUGUACAUUCAUUGUAACAUUUGACUGAUGAAAGUAAGGAUGGUCAUUGUCGGCUGUUGUUUAACUCAUCGGUCCAAACUAUUUUCUCUGAGGGUCAUCUUGGCCGAUGUAACUCUCUGUGAUGUGCCAGCAGCUUUACUUUGUUCCGUGCAUUGAAUCAUUACACAGUCUUAUCUAGGGCAGAAGGUUUGGGAAAUAACAAAUUGCACAAGAUAGAGCUGCUACACUUUCAUGAAAUGUUAUUAUGGAGCACGUCAUUAUGAAAUGUUGUUUGGGAACACGAGGGAAAGUCAGCUCUACAAACUCCAAAUCAUCCGGCUUCCUGCCAGCGAUGUGUUGCCUGCGUUGCUAUUUCAAUAUGGGCCCAUUUCUGAAGUCAAAUCUGGUGAAAUUAAAUAAUUGCACAUUAAACUGUUCGAAGCCAUUUGCUGCCGUUGUUUGUGUGUGUACAGCAGUGUAUAAAUACAGCAGCCCUUUCUGAUUCCCACAUGAGGCUUUUCAUCUGCUGAGUAACUUAGACUAUAAAUCAGCUGCCAAACUGGGAUGUUAAGCCUGUUUCUGGCGGACCAUCUCUGAGCAUGACAUCAUUUAAUAAAGUCCCGAGCUGCAAAAGUGAAAGAUCCAAUCGAAUUACAGUUGGAGACGUUCCAGAGGGAAAGCGCUGUUGUGCUUUGAGAUCACGUUUUCUUCUUUAAUCCACAAUUAGAAGCACUCGGCUUCGCACCGUCGAGCGGAUGUUCACCGCUCCCACCUUCGUCUGUCCGGUCGGAGCACAUGGCUGCCUGCAGUCCUCUUGAUGGCUUUCCCUGAUACGGCCUCCUCGCUCCCGGUGGGCUGCAGGAGGCUCUCUGAUGGCUUUUCCAGCCCUCUCUGCCUUCUUCCCUUCGCCUUGGACACCUUGGGCCAGCUCGCCUUUAUCUGCAGAUAAUCCCCCGGUCGAAGUGAGUGAAUUGCACUUAUCCUCUCCCGGGCCUUGCGAUCUCCUCGGCCUCAGCCACCGCCUCGCCUUUUCCCCUGCUGGGGGGCGCUGGGGGAUUUCACGCGCCACCUCCACGGGACGCGGGGCUCGAGCUCCAGCUCUGUGGGCAAGCAAAGGUGGGGCGGGCCUGCUGCCCAGCGGCGCUGGGGCACCUCGACGCACCGCGUCCUCCAGGAGCUCGUCUCCGUUGUGCUCUGCGGGGACGGAGCGCGCCGGCCGGGGCCUCGAAGGUGCGUGUCGGCCCCCGUCGCGUCCAGCUGACAGGAAGCCGGUUUGGCCUCCUGCUGGAUGAGCUGAAGUUUCCGCCUCUGGGACUCCCUCACCGCCUCUGGCAGCUCCAGCGGGGCGAGCUUCGGGGGGCGUCUGGGGGGCCUCCGGGAGUCAGGCCCGGGGGACGUGGGCAGCAGCGAGGCCGUAAGCCGACCCGCCGUCUCCCUCCCGCGGGUUGCUGACAAA
ensembl:lncRNA